rnacentral:rRNA from 1 species
AUUGAACGCUGGCGGCAGGCCUAACACAUGCAAGUCGAACGAGUGGCGGACGGGUGAGUAAUGUCUGGGAAACCGCCCGAUGGAGGGGGAUAAAUACUGGAAACGGUAGCUAAUACCGCAUACCAAUGGGAGUGCCCAGAUGGGAUUAGCUAGUAGGUGGGGUAACGGCUCACCUAGGCGACGAUCCCUAGCUGGUCUGAGAGGGUGACCAGCCACACUGGAACUGAGACACGGUCCAGACUCCUACGGGAGGCAGCAGUGGGGAAUAUUGCACAAUGGGCGCAAGCCUGAUGCAGCCAUGCCGCGUGUAUGAAGAAGGCCUUCGGGUUGUAAAGUACUUUCAGCGGGGAGGCGUUACCCGCAGAAGAAGCACCGGCUAACUCCGUGCCAGCAGCCGCGGUAAUUC